UACGAGGUACGUAAACUGAAUGCAGAGAAACGACCUCGAAUGAAAGGAAGAUUCGUUAAGAGAGCUUCACUUGCUCUAUCUGCUGCAAGUUCACCAUUGGGUGUGAAUUACUGAAUAUCCUAGCUAUUUGGCUAUAUCUCACUUUACCUUUUAAAUUGAAUGUUUUUGGUUGACUUUUUUCUUCUGCAACGACAGAAGUUUUUUUGCACUUAAUUGUGCUUUGUGGGCUUGAUAUGUACAUAGGGAACCAAAUAAUGUGACUUGUAUGAAUAGAGCUGAUGUAUAUAUUAUCUGGUAAUAAGAAUGUGACAAGGCACUUCCAUUGUUAAAAUUAUUUAGUUUAACCAUGUUUAUCUCUCAAAGCCGAAACUGGACGAACAAAUUGUCUCAAAUCAUAACUGAGCCGAUUUUCUUAAAAUAUGUAACUCACCACCACAUUUACACUUAUAUGUAACAAAGGGAAUGAGUUGCCUGACAAGCUACAUUAAGCACAAUGAACCAAGAUAUAUGUCGUCCCUACCAACAUAUACAUGUAACGUUUUUUAUGUUGAGUCCAGUUCCAUUUUAAUCUCUAGCUAAGAUUAAAUUGACAACUAACUACCACACAAGCGUGUAUUGCAGCAAACAACCUACCUAUCAGCGCCUAUACAAAAUAUCCUCAUACAUCAUUAUCGAGGAGCAAUUAUUGAUUUAAAUCUGUGGUACAUAAGAAAUGUUACUUUUGGUGGCGCUUAACAUUUUGGUAAGAUGGGUUACUUCAAAGAUUUUUUUUUUUUGGAAAAGCUAACGUAUGAUUAUCUAAAGUUACAGGUUAGGAAAGUAUGAGUUAUACAUCGAAGAAACUUUCAAAGAUAAGAGAAAUCUUUUCGUUUUUGUUUCUAUUUCUAUAAAAUGAUGAAAAAGGUUCAUUUCAUAAAAAGACAGGACACAACUAAAAGAUGUAGAAGUCACAUCGUCGGAUGUUGUUGUGUAGCUAAGAGUUGGGUCCGCAUGAAGGAGCCUAGAGAGGCAUUGGCUUUGUAACUUAUAUCACAUUCAACCUUCGAUUUGCCGCUUUUCUGUUACAGUUACUGGAUAGUAGAUAAAAUGUGUACGUAUUAUGAAAAGUAUUAUUGGACAAUAUAAUAUUUAUAAAGAACUAUUUGGCAAAAAUUUUAAUAUUAAAAGCAUCUUCAAAUUAUCAUACUUAGGUGUUAUUAUUCUUCAAAAACACUAAUGUAAAACCUAAUUAAUCUUAAUUGUGACUUAAAGCUCGUUAUAUCAAUAAAGGUUUGAAUUCUGUUCGGUAUAAUAAUCUUAUUCUAGGUCAAAAUAAGAAUUUUUUUUUCUUGAACGUUAUAACUAUGGAUCUAAAAGCUUGUAAAUUAAUUUAAUUACAGUCAUAAAUAAGAAACCCUAAUAUGGGUUUUCCUCAAUCGAAUAUCUUUAUAGUUUUCUUGCUUUUUUGAAGUACUACUUCUCGGUUAUCCAGUUAUCCUCAAGAAAAGGCUUCUUAAUUAAUUUAUUUAUCCGAGAAAGAAAAGGCUUCUUAAUUAAUUAAGAAGUGUCUUGCUAAAGAAUGUUUAAAGGAGGUAUAGUAAAAAUCAUAUGCUGUAACAAGAAAUCAGCAAGAUAAGAGAAAUUUAUAAAAAAUAUAUAUAUAUCAAAUUUGUUAUAGAUAUGAUCAAAAGUCAUGAAUCUAUUCUACCACCAAAAAUGUACUCACAGAAACAUGAAAUUAAUCAAAUAUCAAAGUAUACGGUAUACCAAUGACUCUCAAUGUGGACAUUCUUAAACAAAACCACCAAAACUUGCAAGUUGAUCAAUAUCUCGAAUACAAACACAAGAAAGAAUCAUAUGAUAUUCUCACUUUACCUUUUAAAUUGAAUGUUUUUGGUUGACUUUUUUCUUCUGCAACGACAGAAGUUUUUUUGCACUUAAUUGUGCUUUGUGGGCUUGAUAUGUACAUAGGGAACCAAAUAAUGUGACUUGUAUGAAUAGAGCUGAUGUAUAUAUUAUCUGGUAAUAAGAAUGUGACAAGGCACUUCCAUUGUUAAAAUUAUUUAGUUUAACCAUGUUUAUCUCU
rnacentral:lncRNA from 1 species